rnacentral:rRNA from 1 species
UACGUAGGGGGCAAGCGUUGUCCGGAAUCAUUGGGCGUAAAGAGCGUGUAGGCGGCCCGGUAAGUCCGCUGUGAAAGUCCAGGGCUCAACCCUGGGAUGCCGGUGGAUACUGUCGGGCUCGAGUCCGGAAGAGGAGUGUGGAAUUCCUGGUGUAGCGGUGAAAUGCGCAGAUAUCAAGAGGAACACCAGUGGCGAAGGCGAGUCCCUGGACAAUACCUGACACUGAGGCACGAAAGCCAAGGGAGCAAACAGG